rfam:Triticum aestivum genome assembly, contig: Triticum_aestivum_CS42_TGACv1_scaffold_640697_T_4AS-0.221371_4AL-0.170210
GUAGUACUCCCUCUGUCCCAAAAUUGUUGUCUAACAUUUGUCUAGAUACGGAUGCAUCUAAUACUAAAACGUGACUCGAUAUAUCCGUAUUUAUACAAAUUUAAGACAAGAAUUUUGGGACGGAGGGAGUAGUAC